UACGGAGGGUCCAAGCGUUAUCCGGAAUCAUUGGGUUUAAAGGGUCCGUAGGCGGUUUUGUAAGUCAGUGGUGAAAGCCCAUCGCUCAACGGUGGAACGGCCAUUGAUACUGCAAGACUUGAAUUAUUGGGAAGUAACUAGAAUAUGUAGUGUAGCGGUGAAAUGCUUAGAGAUUACAUGGAAUACCAAUUGCGAAGGCAGGUUACUACCAAUAUAUUUGACGCUGAUGGGACGAAAAGCGUGGGGGAGCGAACAGG
rnacentral:rRNA from 1 species